rnacentral:lncRNA from 1 species
CAAACAAUCUUCUCCACCGUUGUCUCCCACGUCACUAACACACAAAACCCUAAUUUCUCUUUUCACCAUACGCAUCGUCGAUCCAGCAGUUCAUACACGUCUACAGCAAUGCUUCACAAAUGAUUCAAGUCCGCCAAAUGGUUGAACAUGUAAUUAGGGAAGAGAAUAUGGUGAGUGCAUAUAAUUUGAUUGAGAUAUACUACGAACUUAGUGUUACUUGAUUACUUGCGAAAUCAAUUUAAGAAGAAGAAUCGGGACUUAACUUGAAUGUUUAGAUAUUGGAAGCAUCAGUAGGUGAGCACUUGAUGGGAAAAGAGACAAUAUAAGAUUUUGGACAAAAUUGCUACUCACGUGUUCCUGAGCUGCUUAUAAGCGUAUGUGCAUACCAUAACGCAAGACGGAUGUUGUACAUAAACACAACCGAAACACUCGAAGAACGACACAAAUUCAAAAUCUAAAGAGGGAAAAUGUGGAUCGAAGAACGACAAAAAAUCAAGUUUUUAGGUGAUGGUGGAUCUUAAUACAAGGAGGUUAAAUUUACAAGUUGUAAAUAUUAAAGUUGACAGUAUAGGAGCACUGAAAGUUUAAUAUACCAUUAUUUUUGUCGAUGUUUGGAAUGUGAAUAACCAGGAGCCAAAUUUGAUAAAAAUGACGGGAAGCCUAAAGUUGGGGAUGCGGCAACUGAGCAACAAACGAGCUAAGACUCUCAAUUCAUAUAUAUGUUAGAGUCGAAGCGUGUUCAUUAAAAAAAGUUACAACGGGUCAUUUCCUAAUGCAAAAAUGGAAAACUAUUGCUCGACAUGUUUAAGAUCAAAACAUGUCAACGUUUUUUAUAUUUAUCUGGAUUAUAUUUGUAGUUCCAUUUUUGUCGUUAGACUUAUGUAAUAUAUUUAACUUUAUGUUAUACACUUUUUCUUUUAGUUUCAAUCAAGAC